UACGUAGGGGGCGAGCGUUGUCCGAAGUUACUGGGCGUAAAGAGCUCGUAGGCGGCAUGGUAAGUUGUAUCUAAAAGGCGACAGCUCAACUGUCGAGUGCGGUGCAAGACUGCCAGGCUUGAGGCAAGCAAAAGAGUGUGGAACUCCGAGUGUAGCGGUGGAAUGCGUAGAGAUUCGGAAGAACACCCAUGGCGAAGGCAGCACUCUGGGCUUGAAUAAAGACUGCUUGUUUAGUAAUAAAUGAGAAGAGAUACCUGACGCUGAGGAGCGAAAGCCAGGGGAGCAAACGGG
rnacentral:rRNA from 1 species